GAAAUAAUGCUGCGGGAUUGUAGGCACCCAUUGAGAUGGAGAAGUGCUGCUUGUUUGCCUUCUGUGGUUAGACUCAUCUCCCAGCAUUUAUUGUUGUUGGAAUGGUGACUUACUAUGCAAUUCUUGCUUUAUAUGAAACAGCUCCUUAACAUUGUAUUCUGAUGUAGGGGCUUUGAGAGCUCUGUCAUGAUGGGAAUGUUGGGCAUAACUACGAAAAAUUAUUUUAUGGCCACUUAUGUAGUGCGUGGGCGUGUCCUGCUCCACCCAAAGGCCAUUUCUACAGGCACCACCAGGUAACUAAAGAUGGGUUUGACAAAAGAGGACAAAAAAGCUCCUGCGUAUUCGGAUACAGUGCCCCCUAAGCUGCAGUCUGAUUGAUAGGAUGCAGCCAUUCGGGGACGAGGAAGGGGUGGGCACAGCCAGCGUUUCAGAAUAUGGGGGCACGUUGGACCGGUGUACUGGUCGUGGUUGCAACCUUAGGAUUACUCAGAUGGCUGCUGGUCAUGCAGAUGACCCAGUGCUGCAUUCUGGGAUGCAGCAGCAGAUCAGAGAAACAUGCAGGAGGUGCCUAUUUACACAAGACGCCUCCUCAAGCAUUAGCAUAUUAUUGCACGAUGUACUGUACAAGCGAUGUAUGUUCUUGCAGCUCAUCCACUACACCGCCAGGGUAAGCAUUUACAUUUAAAAAAAGUAAUUUUUAGAUAGCAAAUUUCUAUAUUAAAUGCAUUUAAAAUGUUUGCGCACAUAGCGCACCGUGCCAAGGUGUAAACCCUUAGACACUGUAGUUAUCCACCACUUAAAAAUAGAUGUAAAUUUAUUUAGCAAAAGUUUAAAAUACGUCUUUACAUCAUCAGUGCACUACCCUGUGGUUUAUUGCAUUUGUUACCGCAGCACUGGACUUUAACUCUUCCAGUGCUGAAGCAAGAAUUUUGUACAUGUUGGGUGACUCAGCCACACCUACUGUUUGCCUAAGUGAUUCUGUAGCCACUAGAGUGCUGUUGUGCAGCACCAUAACUGGAUCUCCUAGCACUCUGUGCCAGCCAUGCCGCCUUAGCUCAUGAUGUCCUACAGAUUGGCAGGGUCACCAUCUACGGGAAUUACAGCAAUGCCCAGAACAUCCUCCAGAUGCCCAAGUGGGCUGUAAGGGCUACAAUGUGCACAUCUGAUGCGUCCUUGCAGCACUGCAGCAGAGAUUCUGGCUGCAUAGGACCUUAGGCGAGCAGCGGCGGUGUUACCCUCCGUGCCCUGCAGUGGCAUCGCUGGCACACCCCUAGUUAUGGACCUACUGUUUUAAGGCUAGCUAUAGGCAAACCAACCAGCUUAAAGUGUAAAAAAGCUUAACAUCAACCCAGUGUCCUAAUUUCCUCUUUUAGGGCACAGUUCAAUUGUUUGUAUUGCCAGCAGCCAGUAGAUGAUGCCCAACAGAGCUAUUCAAUUGUAGCUCCGUUCGGGCAUGAGCAGCUGCCGAUGCCGGCAUUUCAGCUUGCACCCCCUGGGGGUGGCGAGCUUAAAUGAGCGAAAAGUAACCCAGUUGAGCGUUCAAUCGGGAUUCUUCACGCCGCGCACAUUACUUUGGUCGGGUUUAGCUACUUUACACAGCUAAACCCGACCUCUCCAGGUGCAAUUAGCGCGAUAAAAGGAAACAAUUGAAUGUUGCCCCCCCAUCUCCCGUCUCUUUAGAUUUGAGAUCUGGAGGGAUAAACAAUUAAAUAUUGUCCUUAAGGCCCAUACACACUAGAAGAUUUUUUUUCCAGCAGUUUGAGCGAUAAUGACGGUUUUGAACGAUCUAUCAUUCAAAUCAUCUAGAGUAUACACAGCGAACGAUGUGUGCACCCGUGCUCAUUUGAAGUGGGUCGUCAAUCGUCCAUGCAUGCAGCUAAAUCCCUGCAGAGCAGAUCGUUCAUUGUUCAGAUCGUUUGUAAAAAAACAAGUGUGCACACUUAGGGGUAUAUUCAAU